UACCCCAAAUCAGUAACCCAAUUCCCCUUUCCCUUUUCCUUCCUUCUUCUUCGAGCAAUCAGCAACACCAUCAACAUCUUCAUCACCUUCCUCCUUCUUUAGAAAUUUCGAGUGCCUUCAAGCUAGAUUAAUCAUCUUCUCGUUAAUUCAACUGGUCCUUUCGUGUUUCCUUCUCUCUUUGCAGCAAAAUCAGUGGCGGUUUUCACCGAACACGAACACCGCUUCUCAUGGUGGUUCUACAACCAUUACCGAUGUUCCUUCUUCUUGUAAUUGUUGGUGUAAACAAACUAAGGAGGCGACUUUAUCGAAGAGCCCUUCUAAUAAUCGCGGGGUAGCAGACUUAGCCUCUUGAAGCGUUCUUUUGCUGAUUACAGAUCGGAUCCGGUCGGGAAUAAUCGGGUUAGCAAAGUUGUAGAGAGUGCUAAGGAUGUCCUUUUGAGCUGAGGCCGUGGAAGCUUAUAGUUUGUAUUAGGAAUUUGUUUAAUGUGUAUUAGUUCUGAUUAUGUUGAUUAUAAUGGACUCGUAGUGAGUUGUAUGGUUACUUUAUGUUUAGAUUAGAUAUUUGGUUUGAGAGUUAGCUGUGUUGGUUUCGUAAUAGAGCUGGUGAUUCCUUUG